UGCAGUCAAUUGACUGAUGAUCCGACAAACCAGCCCGUUGGAUUAUUAACCAGCCUCAAAUAUCCUCACAGCAAUCGUCAGGCCAGUGCCACCUAGCCAAGUUGACACAUGAACCCAACCAUCACAUGUGUUAGCUCGGCUGUGGAAUGCUCCAAGUCGCCAGAUUUCCAUCAGGGGUUUUGCCUGUGUCUACAUCCUGCAGUCCUUGUGGAAGCAUGGUCCAGGGCCAUUAGUGCCGUCCAGCUGAGAUGAUGGGCUGCCUCGUCUCAGUCCCCGCCUUGAAGAGAAUGUGUUACCGUUUCUCCAUUAAGUAUGAGUUUGCCACAGGAUCUUGUCUUCAUGUAUCACUGUACUGGACGGCUUCCAUUUGUCCCUCCAGUGCCACUCUCCAGCCUUUGCCACCUGGAUCUGUGUCCUGAGAGUCUGAUCUGUGUGGACCCACCCUACCAGUGGGUUCCCUUGCCUUCUAGAUGCCAGUUGGGCUCCACCAAUGAGGAGAAGAGGCAAGCGAUGAGAGAAAGGGAGAACAGGAUCUAAAAGGUAUAUGUAUAAAAUGUAAUGGUAGCCUUCCCCGAGUCACAGCCCUGGAAACUGAAUAUGACUGGGAAUUUCUCCACUGAGCCGAAAAAGAAACAGAUAGUCCCCUUCAGACCCAGUCCAAGGCAGCCCUCCGGCUCUCCAAGAACCUGCUGAAACUAAUGAAAUUGCGUAAAAGAAGAGGCCUGAACUAAAAUGACCCCGGGCCAUAAAAUACCCUGCGAGUGGAAUCAAAGUGGGCAGCAACAGCAAGAAAAGGAAUACGGGACCCAAAAAGGAAGCCAGAGGUCCAACCAUCACAAAUUCCAGCAACAUCACAAGCCCUCUCCUCAAUAUAAGGGAACCAAUCAGCAGUAAUAACCAACUUGCAAUUCCUAAUAUGAAUGUAGACACAGCUAUCGACAAUAAGCAAUUUACAACCCUUAACUUGAAUGUUUACUAAACAAUCCCAAUGUGCCAACCGCCUCAAGAUCUCUAUCCCUACCUGCCUUUGUUUAGUCUAAUAAAUAUCCUUCAUCUUUCCAGCUUGGGGAGGCAGAGCUGAGAUACAAACUGUCCUCCUGCUCCUCGAGGCUAGACUGCUAAAAAAACUUCUCUACUCAAAAUCCUGGUGUCUACUGAAUGACUUUGUGCACAUCAGGCAAGGAUUCGCAUUCAGUCCAAAACACUUACUCUGUCACUCAUCAGCAAUAGCAAAAUAAAGUUUCUUGUUUGCCUGAUUGGCAUUAUAAUUUAUAUGCCAAGAAUAAUAUUAGGAGUUAGUAUAUUCCCUGCCUUGCUUAUGAUAUUAUCAUUAUGACCAAAUUUUGAGAUAAUAUGAAUAGAAAAAGGCAAUAAAAUGUGUGCAGGUCUUUAAAUAAAGGCUAUGAAAACUUUUCAGGUCAUUAGAGAGUCUCAAUUGUAUAUAAAAAUAGAAAAAAAAAACAAAAAAAUGUAAUGAUAAA